ACAUGCAAGUCGAACGAAGUAGCAAUACUUAGUGGCAGACGGGUGAGUAACAUGUAGGUAUCUGCCCUUUGGCCUGGAAUAACACGAGGAAACUUGUGCUAAUACUGGAUAAGUCUUUACGGAGAAAGCUUUAUGCACCAUUGGAUGAGCCUGCACUUGAUUAGUUUGUUGGUAGGGUAAUGGCCUACCAAGACUGUGAUCAAUAGCUGAUUUGAGAGGAUGAUCAGCCACAUUGGGACUGAGACACGGCCCAAACUCCUACGGGAGGCAGCAGUGGGGAAUCUUGCACAAUGGAGGAAACUCUGAUGCAGCGAUGCCGCGUGAGUGAAGAAGGCCUUUGGGUUGUAAAGCUCUUUCGUCGGGGAAGAAAAUGACUGUACCCGAAUAAGAAGGUCCGG
rnacentral:rRNA from 1 species